CCUACGGGAGGCAGCAGUGGGGAAUUUUCCGCAAUGGGCGAAAGCCUGACGGAGCAACGCCGCGUGAGGGAUGAAGGCCUCUGGGCUGUAAACCUCUUUUAUCAAGGAAGAAGAUCUGACGGUACUUGAUGAAUAAGCCACGGCUAAUUCCGUGCCAGCAGCCGCGGUAAUACGGGAGUGGCAAGCGUUAUCCGGAAUUAUUGGGCGUAAAGCGUCCGCAGGCGGUCUUGUAAGUCUGUCGUUAAAGCGUGGAGCUUAACUCCAUUUCGGCGGUGGAAACUACAAGACUAGAGUGUGGUAGGGGCAGAGGGAAUUCCCGGUGUAGCGGUGAAAUGCGUAGAUAUCGGGAAGAACACCAGUGGCGAAGGCGCUCUGCUGGGCCAUAACCUGACGCUCAUGGACGAAAGCUAGGGGAGCGAAAGGGAUUAGAUACCCCUGUAGUCCUAGCCGUAAACGAUGAACACUAGGUGUCGGGGGUAAUCGACCCCCUCGGUGUACGUAGCUAACGCGUUAAGUGUUCCGCCUGGGAAGUCGCACGCAAGUGUGAAACUCAAANANAUAGACGNGNGAGACGNGCGAGACGACGACGAGGAGAG
rnacentral:rRNA from 1 species